rnacentral:rRNA from 1 species
UGUCCUUUAAAUAAGGACCCGUAUGAAUGGCCUCAUGAGAAAGAAACUGUCUCUUUAGGCCAGUCGAUGAAACUGAUCUUCUUGUACAAAAGCCAGAAUAAUAAAACAAGACAAAAAGACCCUGUGAAACUUAAAAUAGUUUAUCAACCAAUGAUAAAAAUUUUUAGUUGGGGCAACUAUAGAGAAACAAAACCUCGCACACAGCCAAGAUCAACAGAUCUAAGCAUCCAAUUACACCGACCCAGCACCGCUGAUCAAAGAACCAAGCUACUCCAGGGAUAACAGCGCUACAUUCUUAAAGAGUCCAUAUCAACAAGAAUACCUACGACCUCGAUGUUGGACCAGGAUAACCUGAUGGUGCAGAAGCUAUCAAGGGUUCGUUUGUUCAACGAUUAAUAAU